rnacentral:piRNA from 1 species
CCAAUCACAACAAGACACGGUGGGAACUC